GGGGGUUUAGCUCAGUUGGUAGAGCGCCUGCUUUGC
rnacentral:tRNA from 1 species